GGCGACCGGCGCACGGGUGAGUAACGCGUAUCCAACCUGCCCAUGACCGGGGGAUAACCCGCAGAAAUGCGGACUAAUACCCCAUAUUGUCCGAGACAGGCAUCUUGCUUGGACCAAAGGAUUUCCGGUCACGGAUGGGGAUGCGUUCCAUUAGGCAGUUGGCGGGGUAACGGCCCACCAAACCUUCGAUGGAUAGGGGUUCUGAGAGGAAGGUCCCCCACAUUGGAACUGAGACACGGUCCAA
rnacentral:rRNA from 1 species